rnacentral:ncRNA from 1 species
ACAGCAGGAGAGUGUGAUUUUUACCAUUUGUUGGAUUUAAAUCACCACCGAAGGCGCAAAUGCACCCGCAAAUCGCUCAGGUAUCAGGGACUGCUGGCAA